AAAAGAAACCAACAGGGAUUGCCCCAGUAACGGCGAGUGAAGCGGCAACAGUUCAGAUUUGAAAUCUGGCCCCCGAGUUGUAAUUUGGAGAGGAUGUAUUGCCCCAGUACCGGCGAGUUCCCUGGAACGGGACGCCAGAGAGGGUGAGAGCCCCGUACGGCGGGACGCCGCGCCUCUGCGAAGCUCCUUCGACGAGUCGAGUAGUUUGGGAAUGCUGCUCCAAACGGGAGGUAAAUUUCUCCUAAAGCUAAAUACCGGCCGGAGACCGAUAGCGCACAAGUAGAGUGAUCGAAAGAUGAAAAGCACUUUGAAAAGAGGGUCAAACAGUACGUGAAAUUGUUGAAAGGGAAGCGCCCGUGGCCAGACUCGCGCCCCGCGGACCACCCGGCGGACUCCGCCGGGGCACGCCGCGGGGCGCGGGCCAGCAUCGGCCCCCGCAGGGGGACAAGGGCGGCGGGAACGUGGCUCCUCUGGGAGUGUUACAGCCCGCCGCGCCAUGCCCCUGGGGGGGCCGAGGA
rnacentral:rRNA from 2 species